rnacentral:rRNA from 1 species
AGUGAACGCUGGCGGUAGGCCUAACACAUGCCAGUCGAACGGCAGCACAGUAAGAGCCUGCUCUUACGGGUGGCGAGUGGCGGACGGGUGAGGAAUACAUCGGAAUCUACUUUUUCGUGGGGGAUAACGUAGGGAAACUUACGCUAAUACCGCAUACGACCUACGGGUGAAAGCAGGGGAUCUUCGGACCUUGCGCGAUUGAAUGAGCCGAUGUCGGAUUAGCUAGUUGGCGGGGUAAAGGCCCACCAAGGCGACGAUCCGUAGCUGGUCUGAGAGGAUGAUCAGCCACACUGGAACUGAGACACGGUCCAGACUCCUACGGGAGGCAGCAGUGGGGAAUAUUGGACAAUGGGUGCAAGCCUGAUCCAGCCAUACCGCGUGGGUGAAGAAGGCCUUCGGGUUGUAAAGCCCUUUUGUUGGGAAAGAAAAGCAGCAGGUUAAUACCCCGCUGUUCUGACGGUACCCAAAGAAUAAGCACCGGCUAACUUCGUG